rnacentral:lncRNA from 1 species
GGGUAGAUGUACUUCCUGUGGGUAAAAGUUGUUUUGUGUUACAUUGUCUUUUGUUUGUGUAUGUGUGUUGUGUGUUUUGUGUUACAUUGGGUUGUUUUUUUUUUUUUUGAACAUCUGUGUUAUAUAUGUGUAUGUGUGCCUGUUUGUAUAUGUGUAUGUGUUUCUGAGGGUGUAUGUCUUUCUGAGUGUAUAUGAGUAUGCAGGUGUGCAUGUGGAAGACAGAAGUUGAUGCUAGGUGUCUCCCUCUCUAACGCUCUACCUUAUCUUUCGGGGCAAGGUCUCUCACUGAACCUAAUACUCAUCAAUUUGGCUAGGCUAUCUGGCCAGCAAGCCCCAGGGAUCCUCCUGGUUCUGUCUCCCCAGGUCUAAGAUUACAGACGCUCAGGAUGUUUAACUGGGUGCCCGGGAUCUGAAAUCAUGUCCUUAGGCUUACACUGAACCAUCUCUCCAGCCUGCUUUGGUUUUUGGGUUUCUUUGCUUGUGUGUGUAUGUGUGUUUGAUCAAUUAAUUUAUCCAAGAAUUAAUUUUAUUGCAUUAGUGUUAAGUCAGGAAUGCACAUGCCUGAGAGACUGAGGCAGGCUGGUUACGAGUUUGAGGCCAAUUUGAAGAUCGCCAGACCUUGUCUGGAUCAAUCGAUUUACCACUACAUCAGUAGUAAUUUUAGUCAUUCCUCUGGGUGAAUCGUUCAGCUGCCUCCAGGGAGAGGAGAGGAGGUAAAUGAAAAAUUUACUUCAGAGACGAUGUCCACGUGAGGAGAUACAGGGAAAGAUGGCUGAGGUACCUUUUGUGUUUUCUCUCUUGCCCGCCCUGGACAUCUCACUCCACCAAACUAAUGACUAAUGACAACAUAACCUUUUUCAGUUAUGUUUCCUGUUGUGGUGAAGUACCCUAACAAAGUCAUUAAAGGAAGAAAGUGUUACUUCGGCUCAUAGCUAAUCAUGGCGGCAGGAGCUUCAGGCAACUGCAGUCAAAAACCUAGGUUCCUAGGAGCCCUGUGGACAGGACCGUGGAGCGAACGAC